ACAGGGUACAGAUUCAGGGGACAUGGUACAGACUCGGGGUCAAGGUACAAAUCCAGGCGGCAUGGUACAGAUUCAGGGGACAUGGUACAGAUUCAGGGGACAGGGUACAGAUUCAGGGGACAUGGUACAGAUUCAGGGGACAGGGUACAGAUUCAGGGGACAUGGUACAGACUCGGGGGGACAUGGUACAGAUUCAGGGGACAGGGUACAGAUUCAGGGGACAUGGUACAGAUUCAGAAGACAUGGUAUAGAUUCAGGGGACAUGGUACAGAUUCAGGGGACAUGAUACAGAGGGGACAUGGUACAGAUUCAGGGGACAUGGUACAGAUUCAGGGGAAAUAGUUCAGAUUCAGGGGACAUAGUACAGAUUCAGGGGACAUUGAAU